rnacentral:misc_RNA from 1 species
CUGAGUUGUCGACACGAGCUGUUGCUGGUCCUCAAAACGAGAGGGCAUGUGCACGCUCUGUUCACACAUCCACUCACACCUGUGCACCCCCCGUAGUUCUAUGGUCUGGAGAGGACUCGCCGUCCUCUUCCUGUGGUUCUACGCCUUUACACAUACACCGUAGUGAAGUCUUAUGGAAUGUGCGCAGCGUUUAACGCAAUACAAUA